rnacentral:rRNA from 1 species
AACCCAGACCGCCAGCUAAGGUCCCAAAGUCAUGGUUAAGUGGGAAACGAUGUGGGAAGGCACAGACAGCCAGGAUGUUGGCUUAGAAGCAGCCAUCAUUUAAAGAAAGCGUAAUAGCUCACUGGUCGAGUCGGCCUGCGCGGAAGAUGUAACGGGGCUAAACCAUGCACCGAAGCUGCGGCAGCGACACUAUGUGUUGUUGGGUAGGGGAGCGUUCUGUAAGCCUGCGAAGGUG